AAUUGUUGCUGUUCAUCCAUGAUGUUAAAGUUUCUGACAUGGUUAAUUAUCGUCAGUAUUGCAAAGAUCAUCUAGUUCCAUGGAGGUGGAUGAACUUGUUUUCCCCAAGAUGAUGCUUUAAGUUUUGCAGAGACACGUCAAAUGCUCAGGAAAAGUUUUGAAAUGCUUCCUCCUCAAUGGACCGACCAGUUUGAUUCUGGCAUUCAGGUCACUCCUGUAGGAAGCUCAUUUUGAGAUAGAAGGGGACAUAGCAAUCCUGCAGGAAGCUCAUUUUGAGUUUACA